CGUUAAAGACAUACAUAGAAAAGAUUUCAGAUUUGAUUCUAAAGGUCAAAUUAAGACUCUGUCAACUGACUGGAAAUAUCCAGCAGAAAUUAUAGUACCAUUAACUAACGAGGAAAUUUCCUCCUUAUGGAAGGAUAAUGAAUAUUGGCAAAUACCUUUAACUGACUUUUUGGGUACAAUUAGCAAAAAUUAUCCCCAAACUGACAGAAUUAAAUUCAUAAAAAAGACAGUUUGUAUUCUACCACAUAUUGUAAGACAAACUCCCAUUUCUGAAGUUCUUACCUUCUACACUGAUGCCACCAAAUCAGGUAAGGCAUGUUAUAAAGCAGGUGAGGUAAGUAAAGUAGUUCAAAGUCCAUAUACAUCUGUACAGAAGGCAGAAUUAUAUCCAAUUCUCUGGUACUUAUGGAUUUUACAGAUUCUCUUCAUAUAGUUAGUUGUUGGGGACCAAGAAAGUUCCAUUAUGGAAUGUCUUAAGGUCCAGCCUCCAGUUUCAGUAAACAGGAGCACCCAGGAGCUCUGGCCUACAAUUGUAUUGCUAAUGCAAGCAAGCGUGCUAUUGUAUAGCAUAGCCUCAGUGUAGAAUGCCUCCUAGUUUGCAUCUCUUCAGGACUAAGCAUUUGAAUAGGUCUGUACCUGGGCAGAAGGUUAGGUGUGUGAGUAACAAGUGAGGACAGAGAGAUAGGAUCCAUGGAGCAGAGAGGAGUCAGCUGAAUGAGACAGAAAUGGCCUCAUGGCCUUGGAAACAUGGUUAGGAGACAGCCCCGAAGAUGCUGAAUAAAGAAGAGACUCUCAUUUUACAGCAUAGAUCUGAGAGUUCUCUAAAGAUGACAAGAUGCCAGUGCUUGGUCUUUAUCGCCAUUGGGUUGCUAGGAGUUUCCAAGUCCACGAUCCCCAACUCGGGCCGAACCUCAUGGCUGUGGUGGCUUGGGGCUGAGACAUGUCAGGCCACAACAAAAUGGUGCCUGAAUGCGGGACCUGAGAACGGGGGAAGAAGCCAUGGACACCACAAAGAAAGGGACACCAAUGAAGCAAUGGACAAGACAGAGGCGUGGACACUUCGAAGAAAUAGUCGUCACAGUUGAACUGGUCAGAGAAGAAGCACCAGCAGGAAAAAGAAGAAAGAAGUGGCCAAGUGUGGAAAACUCAUCUCCAGAAUCAAAGGACACUGCAUGGGUAGAUGUAAGGGGCCGUGGGCCCAAAACUAUGCGGCUUAAAGCCCACUUUUUUAAGACUUUUAAUGACCUGUAAGUUUGCGGCUUAAAGCCAGCUCUGUGAGCCUCCUGUAACCUGUAAUUAGAUACGGUUUGGCCAAGAGGAACUGCUAACUGCUUCUGUUCCGAGAAAGGGUCUGGAGCUUUUCUGUUCGCUGUUCCAAGAAAGACCACUAAAUGUUCCGGCUGACAAGAAGAAUGUUCCAGUCCCAGCAAAUACCUGAUGUUCCUUCUAUUAUUCCCCCCAAUUCUAUUGUUGCAGGGCUAUUUAAGCCCACUCUAAGCCCCAGUAAAUCGAGACCUUGACAUUGGACAGACGGACUCUUGUCCUUUCUUGCGCCGCUUGGUCUCCAUUCCUCUCUCGCCCUCAUGACUCCUUUAGGUGACAACCCCCUCGAGACCCGAGAAUAACCUGGCCUGCUGGACGGGUCAGGUAGAUACUUAAGAAGAGAAGGUAGCUAUUAGCAUCAAACUAAAGGAAUGUGCCAUAUGAUAAACUUUACAGCUGUCUCUCAGACAAAUCUAUUUCUCUUUAUUUUUUUAUUUCCUAGGCCCUAUUCAGUUAAACCAAUGCUGGCUUUAGAGCUGGAUUUGGCUUUCCUCCUCUAAAAUCCAAGCACAUUGUUUAACUAAACUUUAGAGUUUCUGUAUUGUGUCAAGAAGCCAAUUGAUGUAAUACAGAAUAAGAAAAGAAUUUGGGGACUGUCUUUGUCUUACUUGAUCUCUUUCCUUCAAGAUGUAUACCCUCAAAUAAUUGUUAUUUCUUGCCAG
ensembl:lncRNA